UUUCCUAGGAUAGUCCUCCCUGGA
rnacentral:piRNA from 1 species